rnacentral:rRNA from 1 species
UGUGUAGGCGGUUUGGUAAGUCUGGUGCGAAAUCUCCCGGCUCAACUGGGAGGGUGCGCCGGAAACUGCCGGACUCGAGUGCGGGAGAGGAGAGUGGAAUUCCUGGUGUAGCGGUGAAAUGCGUAGAUAUCAGGAGGAACACCGGUGGUGUAGACGGCUCUCUGGACCGUAACUGACGCUGAAACACGAAAGCGUGGGUAGCAAACAGGAUUAGAUACCCUGGUAGUCCACGCCCUAAACGAUGCAUAUUUGGUGUGGGUCAUUCAGUUGAUCCGUGCCGGAGCUAACGCGUUAAAUAUGCCGCCUGGGGAGUACAGUCGCAAGGCUGAA